AAUCAUUAACGGGAAUGGAUGUUGGGUUUGAUCAAGCACAAGUUCCUUUGGGUGACAUAACAAAUAAUUAUGAUGCUCACAUGAAUUUUCUUGGUAUGUGAUUUUGAUGUUGCCAAUGCUAUGGAUGUUGUAAAAAGAGAAGAGGAGAUAGGCCUUUGUUAAUGCCGCCAAUGUUACAUUUUUCUUUUGUUAAGAUUGUCCUUGUUGUAAAAGAGA